CAGCAGCCACGGUAACACGAAGGGGGCUAGCGUUGCUCGGAAUGACUGGGCGUAAAGGGCGCGUAGGCGGAUGGCACAGUCAGAUGUGAAAUUCCCGGGCUUAACCUGGGGGCUGCAUUUGAUACGUGUUGUCUAGAGUGAGGAAGAGGGUCGUGGAAUUCCCAGUGUAGAGGUGAAAUUCGUAGAUAUUGGGAAGAACACCGGUGGCGAAGGCGGCGACCUGGUCCUUUACUGACGCUGAGGCGCGAAAGCGUGAGGAGCAAACAGGAUUAGAUACCCCGGUAGUCCCUGUCUCUUAUAC
rnacentral:rRNA from 1 species